rnacentral:rRNA from 1 species
GUCGAACGCUGGCGGCGUGCUUAACACAUGCAAGUCGAACGAAGUGGCGAACGGGUGAGUAACGCGUAAUCAACCUGCCCUUCAGAGGGGGACAACAGUUGGAAACGACUGCUAAUACCGCAUACUGAAGGAGGGGAUUGCGUCUGAUUAGCUAGUUGGAGGGGUAACGGCUCACCAAGGCGAUGAUGUGUAGCCGGCCUGAGAGGGUGAUCGGCCACAAGGGUACUGAGACACGGCCAUUACUCCUACGGGAGUCAGCGGUGGGGAAUAUUGGACAAUGGACCAAAGUCUGAUCCAGCAAUUCUGUGUGCACGAUGAAGUUUUUCGGAAUGAAGAGUGCUUUCAGUUGGAAAGCGGUACCAACAGAAGAAGUGACGGCUAAAUACGUGCCAGCAGCCGCGGUAAUUC